UAUACCUACGGGGCGCAGCAGUGGGGAAUAUUGCACAAUGGGGGAAACCCUGAUGCAGCAACGCCGCGUGAAGGAAGACGGUUUUCGGAUUGUAAACUUCUGUUCUUAGUGAAGAAAAAUGACGGUAGCUAAGGAGCAAGCCACGGCUAACUACGUGCCAGCAGCCGCGGUAAUACGUAGGCGGCAAGCGUUGUCCGGAAUUACUGGGUGUAAAGGGAGCGCAGGCGGGAAGCCAAGUCAGCUGUGAAAACUACGGGCUUAACUUGUAGACUGCAGUUUAAACUGGUUUUCUUCAUUGAAGUAGG
rnacentral:rRNA from 1 species